rnacentral:lncRNA from 1 species
CUGAAUAUAGGUUCAAAAUGCUUUCAUAUGCUUUAUUGGAGAAUCCAGAGGAUAAGCUUUUUGAGAUUCUUCUCUUACCUUUGCAAUCGGGACUGACUGCGUCUUGUGCUGCACAGGUAAAAGAAAAUGUCAUAUCAGGUUCUGUAAAGCUGAGCUGUUAAGAAGACAGAAAGCAGUUGAAAUAGUUUGUGCAUUGUCAGGAUCUUGUUUCUACAGUAUUCAAUUCUAGAUAUAGUUCACAGGAACUGUUCUAUUGAUACUAGUUUCUUCAAACUUUUCAGAAACUUGAAAGAAUUUGGAAUCUAAAUCACUAUCUGGAAAGCUAUUGCACCUGCAGUGGGGAGUUAAAUUACUUGCCUUGACGGUGCUUUGCUUACAGUCUUCGUCUCUGGUUGCUGCUGAGCUUCUUCAACUGGG